rnacentral:lncRNA from 1 species
CCCAGUGGGUCUGGCUUGAGAUGGGACAAUGCUAUAGCAAGAAAUCUGUGGUCCCAGAGUCUGACACCUCAGAGAGAAGCAGCAUGACGUCUGGAAGUUCAGAGUCAGAUAUACCACAAGAAAACAAAGUAUCGAAAGCGUCCCUGGAUACUGGACAGAUGGCGUUUACCUUGGCCCAACUUGAGUCCUUGGAGAUUUGCCUGAAAGAAGCAGAAGAAAAGGCUAAAGCUUUAUCUGAACAGGU